UGGAGGCUCUGGCAGCCUGAGGGGCAGCCCCUGUGGUGGGGAAAUGGCAGGGAGUUCUCUGUGACAGCUGGACUUACAAUGGGGGCAUUGUUCCUUCACUUUGAUAUAUCUGUUCCCUGAAGGGUGGAGGGCAGAGAAAGAGAACUGAGUCCAGGAGCACCUGCCAAGGCUGAGAGAGGAAGCUGUGAGUGUCCAUCUAGAGUUUGACAUUCAACCACUGUGGGAAAAGAAGAAGAGAAAACCACAAAAAGCGAUCAACCCUGCUGAAAACAAAAGCUUGCCAUGGCUUCGCAGCAGCCAGGGGACUCACAGGAAAGGCUAUUUUUGUCUUCCCUGCUGCCUUGGACGAUAACAAAGUAGUUCAUGUCUGCUCAGAAGCCACCAGGGACAGACACUGUGCAAAGCAUUCAUGGCUACGAGGGAGACAAGCAGAUGCCACAGGGAAAGGCUGUCUCGUGUGGAGCAGCCUCGUCUGCUAUUCUGGGGUGGAUUUGGGGCUUCUCUUAAAAUAGAACAAUAAACGUGCAGGUCUAGACUAAGCAGCAAUUUUGGUUUUAGGGAAAGCCGAUACCUAGAAGGCUGAGAAUAACCCUGAGAAAGUUUGUUUUCAACAAUUUGGGCUCAAUUAGGAAGGAAAAGUGCCUGGUAAGGAUCGAAGACACAAUCUAAACCAGGAGUAGGCUUUUGGAGCGUUCAUGAGGGGACCCUCCUACAAAUUCCCAGACUGCAAACACUAGCAACAUUGUACUGCGUGUGGCAUAAAGAGGUGCAGCCUUAACUCUUUUGAAAGAAGUGUCUCUAGUGCCCUAACACCAGGGAAAAUCUACCCUGGUUAUGUGUCCCACUUCUCAUCACCUGCAUUGCUUCUCUCUGCCAAUCAUCACAAGGAAAACUGAUGGCAACCAGAAAGACGUCAUGGUGUUCUCCAGCUUUUAGUCACCUAAUCCAAA